CUCAAUAAUUCCUUAUAAAAACCAUGCUUUUAGUAUUCCUCUGGAGAUAUGAGAACGUGGAUGGUAGGCAGGAAAGUUGUGCUGGUGUUCCCUUCUGCGUGGAACGACUGCUCAGUAUUGUAUAUAAGAACAACGCUGCACUGACUCUAGAUGGGACCUCCAGUUAAGAGGGGGAGGUGGAAUAAAGAAACUGCCUGCCUACUGCAAAUGGUAGCAGGAAAACGAAAUAUGAGGGGGGAUUUUGGCGGCGGGGGAGGGGUUCUAAGGUACAAGGAUUGUGUAAGGCCCUUUACUGAACCUACUGCCCACUCUCAAGCCAUGCAGUACCUCCCAAAGGUCUGAGAUUGCCUGUUACCUCACUUUCCAAUGCUCUGGGCCAAAUCUCCACUCCACUCAUCUCAAAACUAGCCCCUCUAAAUGGCUUUGGGGGUAGAAAUAGAGUCAAAGGGAUCAUUAGGUCGUUGGAUGAGUCAACUCCUCCACUAGAAGCACUAUUUGGAAGUUGAAACGAAAUCACGAACUGGUAUCACAAGCUUUUCCACCGAACGUUUCACCUUGAGGGAAAACGGAAAGAGUGCUCAAGAGGACUGGCUGUGGACGCAUUUUCCCGGCAGCGCCGAGUCCGCCGAGGCAGGGCAGAGCGGGCGCCCGCCGCGGCGGCGGGGAGCUGCAGCGCACGGGAAGCGCAGCGCCCGCAGGCGGCUCUCAGCCCUUCCCCCGCACCACCGUAAUUGCGGGUUUUAAUUAAGGAGGAGGAGCCUAGUUGCCCACUGAGACGUAGAAGUGAUUUUUUUUUUUUUAAGAGGGGACCUGGUUCCCGAAAUAAAGGCUCUAACCUGUCUCCUCACUCAUUCUUCCACCCUCGCUUCCAUCUCUCGCGGAGGAGGGGAGGUAGCCGGUGCGUGCGUACCUCGCUUCCUGUUUGAUUAACUCACGCGCCCGCCUCACGCUUUCUCAGAGGAGCAGGGGAGCAACCGCAACUCAGCCCCAAGAGCGGGCGAGCGAAACCCAGCGGGGCUAGCCCAACCGCGGCGCCGGUGCCUGCGCCCGCCUGCUCCUCGUCGGUGCCCACUGGCCCGCGGCGUCCAGGAAAGGGUCACAGGAGGAAUGUUGCCCGGGAAAUGUGGAGCGUCCCAGGCCGGUCAUUUCCCUGCGAGAAGUGUCCAGAAGUGUUCCUCAGAAAAAAUGUGCAGAGGUAGCGAGUUUCUUGAUAAAAAGUUUCUUCAUAAAUCUAUACUGAGGACUUAUGCUUCCAGGUUUCAACCAAGAUGGCACCAUGGAGAGAUCCAGAAUGCUCUUCAUUAGACACACAGGUGGUUGAGAAAACACAAACAUCAA